UUGAACGCUGGCGGCAUGCUUUACACAUGCAAGUCGAACGGCAGCACGGGGGCAACCCUGGUGGCGAGUGGCGAACGGGUGAGUAAUAUAUCGGAACAUAUCCGGGAGUGGGGGAUAACGUAGCGAAAGUUACGCUAAUACCGCAUAUGCCCUGAGGGGGAAAGUGGGGGAUCGCAAGACCUCACGCUUUCGGAGUGGCCGAUAUCGGAUUAGCUAGUUGGUGGGGUAAAGGCCCACCAAGGCGACGAUCCGUAGCUGGUCUGAGAGGACGACCAGCCACACUGGGACUGAGACACGGCCCAGACUCCUGCGGGAGGCAGCAGUGGGGAAUUUUGGACAAUGGGGGCAACCCUGAUCCAGCCAUGCCGCGUGAGUGAAGAAGGCCUUCGGGUUGUAAAGCUCUUUCGGACGGAAAGAAACGGUCACGGCCAAUACCCGUGGCUAAUGACGGUACCGUCAGAAGUAGCACCGGCUAACUACGU
rnacentral:rRNA from 1 species